rnacentral:rRNA from 1 species
UUCGGUGGGAAGCGGCGAACGGGUGAGUAACACCUUUGUGAUCUGCCCAUCAGACGGGGACAACGAUUGGAAACGAUCGCUAAUACCGGAUAGGACGAAAGUUUAAAGAUGCUCCUGGCAUCACUGGUGGAUGAGCCUGCGGCGCAUUAGCUAGUUGGUGGGGUAAAGGCCUACCAAGGCGACGAUGCGUAGCCGACCUGAGAGGGUGAACGGCCACACUGGGACUGAGACACGGCCCAGACUCCUACGGGAGGCAGCAGUAGGGAAUCUUCGGCAAUGGGCGAAAGCCUGACCGAGCAACGCCGCGUGAAUGAAGAAGGCCUUCGGGUUGUAAAAUUCUGUUAUAAGGGAAGAAAGGUGAUAGGAGGAAAUGACUAUCAAUUGACGGUACCUUAUGAGAAAGCCACGGCUAACUACGUGCCAGCAGCCGCGGUAAUACGUAGGUGGCAAGCGUUAUCCGGAAUUAUUGGGCGUAAAGAGCGCGCAGGUGGUUAAUUAAGCCUGAUGUGAAAGCCCACGGCUUAACCGUGGAGGGUCAUUGGAAACUGGUUGACUUGAGUGCAGAAGAGGGAAGUGGAAUUCCAUGUGUAGCGGUGAAAUGCGUAGAGAUAUGGAGGAACACCAGUGGCGAAGGCGGCUUCCUGGUCUGCAACUGACAC